UACGUAGGUGGCAAGCGUUGUCCGGAAUUAUUGGGCGUAAAGCGCGCGCAGGCGGUCCUUUAAGUCUGAUGUGAAAGCCCACGGCUCAACCGUGGAGGGUCAUUGGAAACUGGGGGACUUGAGUACAGAAGAGGAAAGUGGAAUUCCAAGUGUAGCGGUGAAAUGCGUAGAGAUUUGGAGGAACACCAGUGGCGAAGGCGACUUUCUGGUCUGUAACUGACACUGAGGCGCGAAAGCGUGGGGAGCAAACAGG
rnacentral:rRNA from 1 species